GGACUUGCUCAUUCUGAAGGCUGAUCUACCUGUUUUCUACUCUUUUGAGGCUGUCCUGCUGGCUAGUUGCCCUGACUGGCUGCUGCUGCUGUGGGGAGGAUCCUUCUGGUUUGACCCUCAGAGAGGAGUGUGCUUCAAAAUGGAUUCCUUGAAGACCUGCUUCAUGAUUUUUCGAGGGCUGAGGUGAUGCUGACCGAGGAUAAAGCCCUACUACUGCUACCAGUGAAGAGAGUUGUUCCCUUAACUCAAAUCAUAGCAGUCUGUACUUUCAUGUUGAAGACUCCCGUGCUUGACGACCCAUGGUUGGGGCCAUUACAUCUGCCCAGAGCAUUCUGCUAACCCAUUCAAUGAUUAUCAGUCAGCAGCCGAUCUAGUGUGCUUUGCUCUACAUUUUAUUACCGUACAUUCUAGACUCAUUUAUGCCAUGACUGUGUGAGGACAGGAUCUGAGAAGGACUGGGAUGUCAGAGCAAUGGACAGAGGAGGCCACAAUGAGCACAGCAAAUGGUCCAGUUACAUCAGCCUACAGAAACUUUGGGAAAGUCCCGAGAUUUAUGGACAGGCAAGAGGAAAUUGAAUAAGCUUCAGGGGCCAUCCCAGAAUCUUUAGUUGGAUAAAACACCCCUGAGGACCAGUAAUUUAUCUCCCUCUUCCACCGUCAUUGUCCAUGUGAGAAUGAGGAAGCAAAGAUGAGUGUGAUCCUAUGUUCCAGGGACAGUCCCAUUCAAAAGAGGCAUUUAAACAAACUGAGCGGGUGGCAGGAAAAAGAAAAGAACAAAAUUAUCCACCGUUAUCCACUGUUGGCCACGAAAAACAGCAAAAAAACCCAAGAACAAAUAUUUGGACAAGAGACAUUGAUGAAAAAAACAACAAACCAAACAAAAAAAACCCUCCACCAAACCUUUGAAGGCUUUUGAACAUUAAAAGUGAUGCAAAGCUCUAUUUAAUGGACACUCCCAUAGCUCCCCCCCACCCCCCGCACCACAAUUGAUUGCAGUAAGAUUACGAUGCCAUUAAAAUUCAUUCUGCCCAUAAACUAAUGUUGUGGAAAAUGCUGACGUUUAUAGCAGCUCCUACAAGAGACAUAUUUCAGUAUGAAAGUGAGUCUUAAUGCAAGAACUUUAUUUAGGUAAAACAACAUCCGGGAGCGGGGGAGGAGGAGGAGGAGAGAUGGUGGCAAUUGCUGAGGGUUUGAUUUCAUUCAACUAAUGGGUAUA